rnacentral:rRNA from 1 species
AGAGUUUGAUCAUGGCUCAGGACGAACGCUGGCGGCGUGCUUAACACAUGCAAGUCGAGCGGAAAGGCCUUUCGGGGUACUCGAGCGGCGAACGGGUGAGUAACACGUGAGUAAUCUGCCCUUGGCUUUGGGAUAACUACCGGAAACGGUGGCUAAUACCGGAUACGACACAGGUGUGCAUGCGCUCUGUGUGGAAAGUUUUUUCGGCCAGGGAUGUGCUCGCGGCCUAUCAGCUUGUUGGUGGGGUAAUGGCCUACCAAGGCUUCGACGGGUAGCCGGCCUGAGAGGGUGACCGGCCACACUGGGACUGAGACACGGCCCAGACUCCUACGGGAGGCAGCAGUGGGGAAUAUUGGACAAUGGGCGGAAGCCUGAUCCAGCAACGCCGCGUGAGGGAUGACGGCCUUCGGGUUGUAAACCUCUUUCAGUAUCGACGAAGCGCCGAUGAUGGUGGUGACGGUAGGUACAGAAGAAGCACCGGCCAACUACGUGCCAGCAGCCGCGGUAAUACGUAGGGUGCGAGCGUUGUCCGGAAUUAUUGGGCGUAAAGGGCUCGUAGGCGGUUUGUCGCGUCGGGAGUGAAAACCAUGGGCUUAACUCAUGGCUUGCUUUCGAUACGGGCAGACUAGAGGUAUGCAGGGGAGAACGGAAUUCCUGGUGUAGCGGUGAAAUGCGCAGAUAUCAGGAGGAACACCGGUGGCGAAGGCGGUUCUCUGGGCAUUACCUGACGCUGAGGAGCGAAAGUGUGGGGAGCGAACAGGAUUAGAUACCCUGGUAGUCCACACCGUAAACGUUGGGCGCUAGGUGUGGGGCCUAUUCCAUGGGUUCCGUGCCGCAGCUAACGCAUUAAGCGCCCCGCCUGGGGAGUACGGCCGCAAGGCUAAAACUCAAAGGAAUUGACGG